AUCAUGGCUGUUCAGCCUAGACAAAGGAAGCCCCCAGGGAGACCUCAGUGAAGCCUUUUAGAUCUUACAGAGGAGUUGUAAGAAAGAUGGGGACAAACAUUUUAGCAGGACCUAUUGCAAUAGGAAAAGAAGUAAUUACUUCAAAUUAGAAGAGGAUACACAUACAUAUUUUGUGGAAAAUAAACCAUUUUUCUACAGAUGGCAAGACAUAGUACCAAUUACUAAGUUCUGCAAAUUAAGUGAUUAGGAAGAUUCAUGACUCAGUCCCUUGAUCUGUGUCUGCAGCUAAUCAAACCCAUGAAAACAUCAUCUACAGGCUGUUCCACCUAAUUCCAUCCCAAAUUAAAACCAAAGGGACUAAAGAUUUAAGAUGACCUAAAUUAAUGAGAAUGACUUUACGACCUCCUGGACACAUAAUCAGGUACUCACCACUACAGGCCACUCAUUCCUAGGAGUCAGCAGCACUGCAUCUACUGUAUCUGUAUUAUCCAACCUAAGUGUACAAAACUUCCUCAACUAAAGAAUAAAUAGAUCCACACUGGAGAAGAACAUCCCAGAGGACUUUACAAAUUCAGCUACUACUUUAAAUUACCAAGCUAAUAGAAUAAACCUGACAAUUUCUCUAAAAAACUU